GGAGUCAGUGACUAGAGGAGCUACCUGCAAGAAACAUCAAUGAGAUACAAAACUCUUGGCAAUAUGGAACCCUUGCACCAUAACGACAACCAAUGGUGACCCUGAUGUAAUUUGGGAGAAAUGACCCUGUGGAUUCAGGGAAGCAGGAUUUGACUGUAUGACCUCAUGGACUGGGGGAAACAGGGAAACAUUAAGGCAGUCACACAAAGUCCAGAGAGACCCUGGUCAAGCAUUCAUCAAGCUUUUGGAUUGUAAAGUUCAUGCAGAUCAGAACCACUGUAACAUGUCAAACUCCUGCUGUCCUUGGAAGAUAAAUCCAGAGAAAUUUGAAAAAAACCCAAAAUCUACUCAACAUAAAGAAGAAGAUAAAUAUGUGAGAUUAUACUUGGCUUAUGAAAAGACUGGGCAUAUAAUGGAUUCUGAGGUGAUGUCGUCUGACUUUGAAAUAUCUGAAAAGAUUUUUAGUGACUACUAGAAAUAUUAUUUAGUGGUGAAGACAAUCUACCUUGAGAUCUUGUGCUAGUCAUCCACAGAUAAGUGAAAGGUAGAAAUGCCAAAGGCACAUUUCCUUUUUAAAUGGAAGCUACCAAAAAUUCAUUGAUGACCAUAACAUUCAUUUGCUGUACCUACCACACAUGGAUGUUAUCAGAUUCUCAACCACCACAUGAUAUUGUGUUUAGAAAAUACACAAACUUAAAACCUCGUUACUGCAACAUAUCUUGUCCAACACACUGAAGACAGCCUGUCAACUUCCCAAAUGUUGCACUACAAUCUUGUUUUAGUUCAGCUGAGCCAUUAGAUUGUUUCAGAAACACAUUGUGUGUAUUAUUUAGACACAUGCCAACAGCAAUAAGACACUCUAAGCAUAACUGACAGCUGCCUUAUCAUGCAAUGAA